GGCCAAGAUUUUAUGCCACAAACACAAGGUGUAAAUAUUUUUUUUGUACACCAGAUCUAGAUUUCGACAAUAUAUGUCUCUUCAGUGAUGUUAGGGAUCGAAACGGUAUUUAGAAGGCCAUAUAAUGUACCUUCAAUUUCAGAUAGACUCUUGAAUUUUAAGAGUCAAUAUAGGAUGAACGGAUCAUAUAAUCCGGAGGGAAAAUAUGAUACAAGCCCAAACGAAAAAAUAUAAACGAGUCUGAAUUGAAAACUACGUUCAAACCUAUGAUUGCGUUGGAUAAAAACCGCAAUUUUUAUACGUGUGCAUGUAAAACAAAUUUUGUUGUAGAAGGGUCUAAAUACAGCACAAACAGCAUUUUCCAAAAGACCAAAAAAGUGAAAAGUAUAUUUAAACAAAACACAUUUGACUAACAGGUCAAACAACUGAUGUUCUUUAACCCUGCUGACUGCCAUUGGCAAUUGCCAAAUAAAAUUGAUCACGAGAUGUAACAAAAUGGAUCUUAAUAUAAAUUUAAUACUAAACAGAAAACGAUAACUUGUGGCCAAGAUGUUAUGCCACAAACACAAGGUGUCAAUAUUUUUUUUUUGUACACCAGCUCUAGAUUUCGACAAUAUACAUUGUAUGUCUCUUUAGUGAUGUUAGGGAUCGAAACGGUAUUUGGAAGGCCAUACAAUUUACCCUCAAUUUCAGAUAGACUCUUGAAUUUUAAGAGUCAAUAUAGGAUGAAAGGAUCAUAUAAUCCGGAGAGAAAAUAUGAUACAACAAACGAAAAAUAUAAACGAGUCUGAAUUGAAAACUACGUUCAAACCUACGAUUGCGUUGGAUAAAAACCGCUAUUUUUAUACGUGUGCAUGUAAAACAAAUUUCGUUGUAGAAGGGUCUAAAUACAGCACAAACAGCAUUUUCCAAAAGACCAAAAAAGUGAAAAAGUAUAUUUAAACAAAACACAUUUGACUAACAGGUCAAACAACUGAUGUUCUUAAACCCUGCUGACUGCCAUUGGCAAUUGCCAAAUAAAAUUGAUCACGAGAUGUAACAAAAUGGAUCUUAAUAUAAAUUUAAUACUAAACAGAAAACGAUAAACUUGUGGCCAAGAUGUUAUGCCACAAACACAAGGUGUCAAUAUUUUUUUUUUUGUACACCAGCUCUAGAUUUCGACAAUAUACAUUGUUUGUCUCUUUAGUGAUGUUAGGGAUCGAAACGGUAUUUGGAAGGCCAUACAAUUUACCCUCAAUUUCAGAUAGACUCUUGAAUUUUAAGAGUCAAUAUAGGGUGAAAGGAUCAUAUAAUCCGGAGAGAAAAUAUGAUACAAGCCCAAACGAAAAAUAUAAACGAGUCUAAAUUGAAAACUACGUUCAAACCUAUGAUUGCGUUGGAUAAAAACCGCUAUUUUUAUACGUGUGCAUGUAAAACAAAUUUCGUUGUAGAAGGGUCUAAAUACAGCACAAACAGCAUUUUCCAAAAGACAAAAAAAGUGAAAAAGUAUAUUUAAACAAAACGCAUUUGACUCACAGGUCAACAACUGAUGUUCUUAACCCUGCUGACUGCCAUUGGCGAUUGCCAAAAUAAAAUUGAUCACGAAGAUGUAACAAAAUGGAUCUUAAUAUAAAUUUAAUACUAAACAGAAAACGAUAAACUUGUGACCAAGAUGUUAUGCCACAAACACAAGGUGUCAAUAUUUUUUUUGUACACCAGAUCUAGAUUUCGACAAUAUAUGUCUCUUCAGUGAUGUUAGGGAUCGAAACGGUAUUUGAAAGGCCAUAUUUACCCUCAAUUUCAGAUAGACUCUUGAAUUUUAAGAGUCAAAUAGGAUGAAAGGAUCAUAUAACCGGAGAGAAAUAUGAUACAAGUUCCAAACGAAAAUAUAAACGAGUCUGAAUUGAAAACUACGUUCAAACCUAUGAUUGCGUUGGAUAAAACCGUAAUUUUGAUACGUGUGCAUGUAAAACAAAUUUCGUUGUAGAUGGGUCUAAACAGCACAAACAACAUUUUCCAAAAGAGACAAAAAAGUGAAAAAGUAUAUUAAACAAACGCAUUUGACUAACAGGUCGAAACAACUGAUGUUCUUAAAACCCUGCUGACUGCCAUUGGCGAUUGCCAAAUAAAAUUGAUCACGAGAUGUAACAAAUGGAUUUUAAUAUAAAUUUAAUACUAAACAGAAAACGAUAAACUUGUGGCCAAGAUGUAUGCCACAAACACAAGGUUCAAUAUUUUUUUUUGUACACCAGAUCUAGAAUUUCGACAAUAUACAUGUUUGUCUCUCUAGUGAGUGUAAGGGAUGAAAAGGUAUUUGGAAGGCCAUACAAUUUACCCUCAAUUUCAGAUAGACUCUUGAAUUUAAGAGUCAAUAUAGGAUGAAAGGAUCAUAUAAACCGGAGGAAAAUAUGAUACAAGCCCAAACGAAAAAAUAUAAACGAGUCUAAAUUGAAAACUACGUUCAAACCUAUGAUUGCGUUGGAUAAAAACCGCAAUUUUUAUAUGUGUUAAUGUAAAACAAAUUUCGUUGUAGAAGGGUCUAAAUAACAGCACAAACAACAUUUUCCAAAAGACCAAAAAAGUGAAAAAGUAUAUUUAAACAAAACGCAUUUGACUAACAGGUCGAACAACUGAUGUUCUUAAACCCUGCUGACUGCCAUUGGCGAUUGCCAAAUAAAAUUGAUCACAAGAUGUAACAAAAUGGAUCUUAAUAUAAAUUUAAUACUAAACAGAAAAAAUAACUUGUGGCCAAGAUGUUAUGCCACAAACAUAAGGUGUCAAUAUUUUUUUUUUGUACACAGACAGAUUUCGACAAUAUAUGUCUCUUCAGUGAUGUUAGGGAUCGAAACGGUAUUUGGAAGGCCAUAUUUUUACCCUCAAUUUUUAGAUAAGACUCUUGAAUUUUAAGAGUCAAUAUAGGAUGAACGGAUCAUAUAAACCGGAGGGAAAAUAUGAUACAAGCCCAAACGAAAAAAUAUAAACGAGUCUAAUUGAAAACUACGUUCAAACCUAUGAUUGCGUUGGAUAAAAACCGCAAUUUUUUAUACGUGUGCAUGUAAAACAAAUUUCGUUGUAGAAGGGUCUAAAAACAGCACAAACAACAUUUUCCAAAAGACCAAAAAAGUGAAAAAGUAUAUUUAAACAAAACGCAUUUGACUAACAGGUCGAACAACUGAUGUUCUUUAACCCUGCUGACUGCCAUUGGCGAUUGCCAAAUAAAAUUGAUCACAAGAUGUAACAAAAUGGAUCUUAAUAUAAAUUUAAUACUAAACAGAAAACGAUUAACUUGUGGCCAAGAUGUUAUGCCACAAACAUCACGGUGUCAAUUUUUUUUUUAGUACACCAGAUCUAGAUUUCGACAAUAUAUGUCUCUUCAGUGAUGUUAGGGAUCGAAACGGUAUUUGGAAGGCCAUAUAAUUUACCCUCAAUUUUAGAUAGACUCUUGAAUUUUAAGAGUCAAUAUAGGAUGAACGGAUCAUAUAAACCGGAGGGAAAAUAUGAUACAAGCCCAAACGAAAAAAUAUAAACGAGUCUAAAUUGAAAACUACGUUCAAACCUAUGAUUGCGUUGGAUAAAAACCGCAAUUUUUAUACGUGUGCAUGUAAAACAAAUUUCGUUGUAGAAGGGUCUAAAAACAGCACAAACAACAUUUUCCAAAAGACCAAAAAGUGAAAAAGUAUAUUUAAACAAAACGCAUUUGACUAACAGGUCGAACAACUGAUGUUCUUUAACCCUGC
rnacentral:lncRNA from 1 species